AUUAAUAAGCGGAGGAAAAGAAACUAACAAGGAUUCCCUCAGUAACGGCGAGUGAAGCGGGAAAAGCCCAGCACCGAAUCCGCCGCCGUCUUCGGCGGCCGGAACUGUGGUGUUAAGGACAGCCUAUGGGGAUCGGUCGGGAGCCUGAGUYCUCCUGAUCGGGGCUUCACCCAGAGCGGGUGUCAGGCCUCUACGGCUCCUGGCCGGUUCUCUAAGGUCGUCCUACGAGUCGGGUUGUUUGAGAUUGCAGCCCAAAGCGGGUGGUAAACUCCAUCUAAGGCUAAAUACAGACACGAGUCCGAUAGCGCACAAGUACCGUGAGGGAAAGUU
rnacentral:rRNA from 1 species